UGGCGGACGGGUGAGUAACGCGUGGGUAACCUGCCUCAUACAGGGGGAUAACAGUUGGAAACGACUGCUAAUACCGCAUAAGCGCACAGGAUCGCAUGAUCCGGUGCGAAAAACUCCGGUGGUAUGAGAUGGACCCGCGUCUGAUUAGGUAGUUGGUGGGGUAACGGCCUACCAAGCCGACGAUCAGUAGCCGACCUGAGAGGGUGACCGGCCACAUUGGGACUGAGACACGGCCCAA
rnacentral:rRNA from 1 species